GAGCGGAAUUUGCAUCGCGUGUGCUAUGGUUUAUUAUAAAGUCCUCCCUUCCGCCGUAAGGGCGACCAUUUUGAUUUACGUCGUCGGCGAGGUGAUGGGUGCCGGAGUGCAACGAGAUGCAACUACGGUUCGAUCCAAGAAUUUUAAGGUGGCUCGAUAUAAACAGGAAGGGGAGGCGUGCAAAAUGCUAAUUGGAUUAUCUGGCAAGCCGUUUUGAGGAUAUCUGAUUAAAGACAAUGUCGGUCUCUGAUACUUCCCUGUUUACUCCAUGUUGGGGGUGGAUAUAGUUGGGUCUGAAUUAAACACCUGGGAUUCUUUGAUUUUAUCAGGUUUUAUAAAACAAGAGUCCCCUAAAGGGAUUCUGUUACGUGAAAGUUGGGAGCCUAGAAAUAAUUGUAUCCUGUUCUCGGGAAGAAUGUGAUAUGUUGUUGAAUAAAAGCUGCUGCUAAAA